CAGAGGUCCCAAGCGUUGUUCGGAUUCACUGGGCGUAAAGGGUGCGUAGGCGGUCGGGUAAGUCUGAUGUGAAAUCUCACAGCUUAACUGUGAAACUGCAUUGGAUACUAUUCGGCUUGAGAGUUGGAGGGGGACUGGAAUUCUUGGUGUAGCAGUGAAAUGCGUAGAUAUCAAGAGGAACACCAGUGGCGAAGGCGAGUCCCUGGACAACUUCUGACGCUGAGGCACGAAAGCUAGGGGAGCAAACAGGAUUAGAUACCCUGGUAGUCCUAGCCGUAAACGGUGCUUAUUUGCUGUAAAAGGAUCGACCCCUUUUGUGGCGUAGUAAACGCGUUAAAUAAGCCGCCUGGGAAGUACGGUCGCAAGAUUA
rnacentral:rRNA from 1 species